GGAUCCAUCAGGCUUUGCUUGGUGGUGAGAGUGGCGAACGGGUGAGUAAUGCGUGACCGACCUGCCCCAUACACCGGAAUAGCUCCUGGAAACGGGUGGUAAUGCCGGAUGCUCCGACUCCUCGCAUGGGGUGUCGGGAAAGAUUUCAUCGGUAUGGGAUGGGGUCGCGUCCUAUCAGGUAGUCGGCGGGGUAACGGCCCACCGAGCCUACGACGGGUAGCCGGCCUGAGAGGGCGACCGGCCACAUUGGGACUGAGAUACGGCCCAGACUCCUACGGGAGGCAGCAGUGGGGAAUAUUGCACAAUGGGCGCAAGCCUGAUGCAGCGACGCCGCGUGCGGGAUGACGGCCUUCGGGUUGUAAACCGCUUUUGAUCGGGAGCAAGCCUUCGGGUGAGUGUACCUUUCGAAUAAGCACCGGCUAACUACGUGCCAGCAGCCGCGGUAAUACGUAGGGUGCAAGCGUUAUCCGGAAUUAUUGGGCGUAAAGGGCUCGUAGGCGGUUCGUCGCGUCCGGUGUGAAAGUCCAUCGCUUAACGGUGGAUCUGCGCCGGGUACGGGCGGGCUGGAGUGCGGUAGGGGAGACUGGAAUUCCCGGUGUAACGGUGGAAUGUGUAGAUAUCGGGAAGAACACCAAUGGCGAAGGCAGGUCUCUGGGCCGUUACUGACGCUGAGGAGCGAAAGCGUGGGGAGCGAACAGGAUUAGAUACCCUGGUAGUCCACGCCGUAAACGGUGGAUGCUGGAUGUGGGGCCCGUUCCACGGGUUCCGUGUCGGAGCUAACGCGUUAAGCAUCCCGCCUGGGGAGUACGGCCGCAAGGCUAAAACUCAAAGAAAUUGACGGGGGCCCGCACAAGCGGCGGAGCAUGCGGAUUAAUUCGAUGCAACGCGAAGAACCUUACCUGGGCUUGACAUGUUCCCGACAGCCGUAGAGAUAUGGCCUCCCUUCGGGGCGGGUUCACAGGUGGUGCAUGGUCGUCGUCAGCUCGUGUCGUGAGAUGUUGGGUUAAGUCCCGCAACGAGCGCAACCCUCGCCCUGUGUUGCCAGCACGUCAUGGUGGGAACUCACGGGGGACCGCCGGGGUCAACUCGGAGGAAGGUGGGGAUGACGUCAGAUCAUCAUGCCCCUUACGUCCAGGGCUUCACGCAUGCUACAAUGGCCGGUACAACGGGAUGCGACACGGUGACGUGGAGCGGAUCCCUGAAAACCGGUCUCAGUUCGGAUUGGAGUCUGCAACCCGACUCCAUGAAGGCGGAGUCGCUAGUAAUCGCGGAUCAGCAACGCCGCGGUGAAUGCGUUCCCGGGCCUUGUACACACCGCCCGUCAAGUCAUGAAAGUGGGUAGCACCCGAAGCCGGUGGCCUAACCCUU
rnacentral:rRNA from 1 species